AACCGUUUGUUCCGCGCCGAGGCAGAGGCGGCGCACUGGCGGCUUCCCUCUGAGCGCGCCUCCUGGGGGUGCGGGACUAGGAACACCUCUUUCCUUGUCCUAGGUGUGCAGAGCUCCGAGUUACCACGGUGCGGCUUCGGGCGGGGGAGGGGGCGGGGGGAGUGGGUUGUGGAUCGGGGUUCCAAGAAGUGGGAAUUUGGAGUCCUGGGUUUCCUAGCUGUCUCUCUGCUGUCCCUCGAGCCGGGUCGAACCAGCUGCCCGAGCCCGAAGCCUUCCCAGCUCACCAUUCACAGGCGCCUCGUGGGCUCUUUUCCAUUGGCUUGGAAAGCGCGUUCAAGAAUCAUCGUUCAAUGGACUUGACCCACCGGUUGAGUAAAUGAGAUUCCAAACGCUUCCUGAUCUGGGAGGAUCCCAAGAAGAUCCCAGGGCGAGGGUCCUAGCCGGUCUCGGAGGUCAAGUAUGACUGGCGGAUCGUGGACGCUAGCUUUCCAGGGCCCCACAGGCGAGCCAGCGCAUGAAGACUUGGAAAAUCCUGCUUUCGAGUUCAAAGCAAGACAAAGUUGAUCGUUUCCACUUCGUCUACACCACAAGGCAGCUGUGAGUUCGCUAAUAGAGUGGUCUGGUUUCAGGGUUCUAGAACCUUCCCUCUACUCUCCCAGAUCCCAUCCACUGUAAAGCCACGGAGCCUGUGGUUGCUGUCCUAACAAUUUAUGGCAUUUUCACGCAACUGUAAAUGAAACUGUCUGGAAAUCACAUCGGCGCCUGCUUUGUCUUUGUACCCUACUGGGUGUCCAGGCUACAGGCUUUCACUGGGCCAUCAGCAGAGGGUGGAUUCCCUCAGGAUCUCAUCAGAGUCCUGGGGGUAAGGACUGAAACCAUCUCCCAGGAGGACGAAGCUCUAGCAUUCUGGACAGCUGACCAAGGACCCAUCCCUAACAAUCACCAAGUCCUUUCUUAUUUAUCUUGUUUUUUUGGUUUUGUUCUUUUGAGACAUCUUCUCACUAUGUAGCCUUGGCUGGCCCAGAGCGUGCUCUGUCCAUCAGGCUCGGCUCAGCAGAUCAACCCACCUCUGCUUCCUGAGUGUUGGUAUUAAAGGCUUUGCCCCACUAUGCCUAGCCUUUUGAAAAAUACAUCUCUACUGAAAUGAAAGGGUAACACAAGACCAGCGCUUUAUUCCAGGCCCCACAGGGCUCCACUCAGGCCUUCACCCCACACCCUGCCGUUGCCUUGGGAACCCCCUCUCCUUGGGGACCCCCUCUCCCUGGGGACGCCUUCUCCCUGGAGACCCCCUCUCCUUGGAGACUCCCUCUCCUUGGGGACUCCCUCUCCUUGGGGACCCCCUCUCCCUGGGGACGCCUUCUCCCUGGAGACUCCCUCUCCUUGGGGACCCCCUCUACCUGGGGACGCCCUGUCCUUGGGACCCCCUCUCCUUGGAGACCCCCUCUCCUUGGGGACCCCCCUCUCCCUGGGGACGCCCUCUCCUUGGGACUCCCUCUCCUUGGGGAACCCUCUCCCUGGGGACUCCCUCUCCUUGGGGACUCCCUCUCCUUGGGGACCCCCUCUCCUUGGAGACCCCCUCUCCCUGGGGACGCCCUCUCCCUGGGGAUGCCCUCUCCUUGGGACCCCCUCUCCUUGGGACUCCCUCUCCUUGGGAACCCCCUCUCCUUGGGGACUCCCUCUCCUUGGGACCCCCUCUCCUUGGGGACUCCCUCUCCUUGGGGAUCCCCUCUCCUUGGGGGGGACUCCCUCUCCAAGCUGUCCGGGUUUCACAGGAUGCUGCAUUUUUAAUAUUAAAGCCGCUAUUACAGAAAACAUCA
rnacentral:lncRNA from 1 species